ACGACGGUGGCAUCACUGACGGAGCGCUCGGUGUUGACAGACUCUGGUGCAAUGGCGACGAUGACGACUCGUUUGCCGAGGGACGAAGAGUCGUCGACGGCGACGGAAUCCUCAACAGCUGCAAGCACUGAAGAACGUACUCCCACUGAGGACUUCCCUCAUCCUGGCGCAAACGCUGUUGUCGGUGAGAUCACGCUGCCGGAGGAAAUCUUCAGCGAAUCCCUGAACAACAAGUCUUCGAUAGAAGCAAGGGAUCUAUCCAACCAGCUGAAACAAGGGUUAGAAGACAUCCUGAAGGGACUUGGAUACCGCUACGAGACCGUGGACAUCCUGAAGUACAGGAAAGGCAGCGUGGUGGCUUCCUUCGUGGUGGUCGGCGGUGACCUGCCUGCGGCCAAGGUCAAGGUGGCCAUCCGCGACUUCCUGGCCAAGAACAACGGCACCCUCAGGGGACGUCCCGUGGACUCGGAGUCGGUAGUCGCCAAGGCAGUAGCAACAACUGUAGACGAAAAGACUGGUACAACAACCUUUGUGCCAAUAAGCGACACCACGGAAGUCACUUCAGAGCAUCCAAUGACAGCAGAGUGGAUAACAACACCUACGGAAAAGGAACCGGCCACCUCUCAAGAUGACAUGUCAGAAACAACGACCCCAAUGAUCCCUCGUCUGUCACCGCCGCCGCCGACGACAACUCAGACGGAGGCGCCAAUGGAUGCCUUGACGACGACAUCCGCUACUGUCACGGAGACGCCGGCGACUCCGGGAGAAGAGACAACGACACCAAAGAUUUCUAUAGCUCCGGGUACUUUGAUUCUGCUAGCAACAACCGCUUCCCCGACCAUGACCGCCGACUCCGAACUGAGUUCUCCUGAGAUGGCAAUGACCAACACCACAGCACCUCCAACAACGGAAACCUUAGUGACGGCGCCCAGCCCCGCGAUUGAGCAGGCUACGGUGCCUACGACCGGCGCGACCUUGAUGACAGAGCCGCAGUCGUCGACCGAAGUCGAAAGUUCAUCGACUCGAGAAGCAAGUCAGACGACGGUUGCGACCUUUGCCACUGAAAGUAGUGAAGUCGCUAAUGCUACAGUCAGUAUGAUAGUGAACGCCGUAACUACGCCGGUGACCACGGCACAAACUACCGCUGCCGUAGUACUUGAACAAACCACUGCUUCUGGUAUGACGACAGAACGCCACGUGACCACGGACUGCCGGCAUAUUAACGACCGUUCCUGUGCCGUCAAGCGAAACACCGGUAACUGUGUGGCUUAUGAACGAAACGGCACCAACUUCAUCGGUGUCUUCGGAGAACAGCACUGAAGAGAGCAUGAUGUUCUCAGUCACUGUUCCGUCCGUUAUGGUGUUUUCAGCAACGCCCGCCACAGAAGUAGACAACGGAACUGAAAGGAUGCUACGGCAACUGAAAAUGAAACCUUGGCGGAAACUACCACGACGCAGAUGUCUUCGGUGUUCCGGGAAAUUGAUGGCGAUGCCAUGAACGACACCGACAUCGGCUGAGCACGACGCAACCGCCUGUCUCGACAACAAUCGACAGAUCCGAUCUUUGUCAACUGAAACCCUGCCGUUCAACGUGACAGACUCUCCGAACACCACGCUGUCGCUGGUCGAGACGGCCACCGACGUCUCCCUGAUGACGACAACGUUGGCCGGUCGUGAUGAACGAUACCGAAUCGAUGAACGCGACGUUGGUGUAUCCCGGCUUCGGCAAUGGCUCGUCGACGGAAGAAGUGGACCCAGACUUGAACGUCAGCAACCGCACUUUCGCCAUGGGCAGGAACCUGACCUUCAUGAACAACAACACCCUGUCAGAGGAUGGUCUGGACGUAGUGAACAGCACCAUGGAUUCUUGGAACAUGACGGCCGACGGCACGCUGCUUAACGCCGCGAACAUUACGUUAAGAGAUGGCGACGGAACGAGCAUGAUGACCGACAGCAACAACAUGACGAACGUGGACAUGACGACCACCGAAUUCUUCAACGAAACCAUGGCGAACUCGACGGAAGACAUGUUCGGCGUCCACUGUUCCACCGAGGAGUUCUUCUGUCCCGCCGAAGGAAGCCACACUUGUCUGAAGACCAACCUCCUCUGUGAUCAGUUUCGAAGACUGCCCUGGAGCACUGGACGAGCAAAAUUGU
rnacentral:misc_RNA from 1 species